GGACCAUUACAGCUGCCUCCUAACCAGGCUCCCCCACCACAUGGGAGCCUCAACACAUGUCCCCAGGCCUUUGUGUCCCUAGGGGGAUUGGUUCCGGGAUCUCUUUGAGAUACCAAAAUCCAUGGGUGCUCAAAUCCCUUAUAGAAAAUAGUGUGGUAUUUACAUGGAAUCCACACACAUCUUCAUUUGCCUCUGGAUGACUUAUAAUACAUAAUACAGUGUAAAUGCUAUGUAUAUGGCUAUUGCAUUGUGUUGUUUAGGGGAUAAUGACAAGAAAAAAGUCUGUGUGUUCAGUACAGAUGCACUUUUUCUUUUACCAUGUGCAGUUGAUUGGAUCUGCAGAUGCAGUAUAGGUGCAGGUGCAGAGGGCUGACUGUACUGCGUUCUCUGCUGGGAAUGCUCUUUCGCCAAACAUCUUCAUGGUUUGCUCCUUCAUUCUAAGGAGCCCCUUCCCUCACCACCCCCCAGCCUCAGCAGGGGGCUUUCCUGACCACCUCAUCCAGAAAAACUUCUUUAACCCUUACCCUGACUUCUUUAUUGCAAAGCAUUCAUCAUAACCGGAUACUACUUUAGAUAUUUAUUGCUUUUUUUGGGGAAAAAAUGUCUUCCUAAAUGACUGUGACAGAGCGGUGGUAGGGACCAUGUCUGUCUUAUGCACAGCUGCCCCUGGGUGGCUUCUACACUCAAUGCACACCUACUGAGAGGAACAAAGCAUGAAUACUGCAUGAAGGAAUUCUUGGCUUAGUUUCCCCCUUUGCAGUCCAGGGCUCACUUUGUCAGCUGACCCUGUGCCUCUCCUGUUUUGUGGUCCUAGGGUUUCCAGGUUCUUUGAGCCCCAUCUGCUGAGGUUCUGGCUGAGCAGGUGUGAGAUGCAGACAGUGGGGUAUGCCCUGCAGUCUAGGAACUCCACUUUGGAAACUGCUGGUCUAGGACAUAGCAGGUGUUUAAUAAAUGUAAGUACUUUAAAAUAUAUAAUGAUUCUUACUAUUAGAAAAAAAUCUUUGCUUUUCUACUACACUAUA
rnacentral:lncRNA from 1 species